UUAGAAGGGUGGGAAUUGAACCCACACAAAGAGAUCAAAACUCUCCAUACUUCCCUUAUAUUAUCUUCU
rnacentral:tRNA from 1 species